AAGUGCGAUAAUACUAGAACUAAUGCACCAGAUCCCCCCAGAACUGUGUAGUUAAGCAUGCUUCGGGGACAGUAGUACGAGGAUGGUUGACCUCCUGGGAAAUCCUCGUGUUGUAUGUU
rnacentral:rRNA from 2 species